CGGCGAUAGAGAUUGGCCAUAUCGCGGCUCCUUCUGGCCUCCGCCAGCGGAGGCAGCGCAGACUGGAGGAGGGAGGAGCACGUGGCUGCUGAAUCGCACGGUUGGAAAGGGGGAUCCCUGAGGGUCAUCUAGUCUGACCCGCUGCAGUGCAGGAAGAACUGGGUAGAGUAACACUGGCAAAAGGGGCGGAGCAAGGCUACCUAUAUAUAAAAGAGUGUGUGUGUGUAUGUGUGUGUCUCUCUCUCUCUCUGUGUUAGUUACAAUGUGCUUUUAUUAAUUCUUUCCCAACCACCAGGGCUAGCCCAGGACAUUUUGGCACCAGAGGUGAACCACAAAGUGGUGCUCUCCUCCCUGCCAGGGAAGAAAGGAGGAGUGAAGAUCUACAUCAGGAUCUGCCACCCCUGUGGAUCCUUUUUGCCUGAGGCGUUGCCUCACCUUGCCUUAUAGGUGGGCCGGCUGGCCCUGACAACCAGAACCCGUUUGGAGCAAAAUCAGAACGGCCUUGAACAAAAUCUUCCAAGCGUCGGACAUCUUUUUAAAAAUUAAAUAAAUAAAAACUCUGCAUUCAUGAUGACUUGC